CAAACUUCCAUUACCAUAUGUAAUAAGUGGAGCUCAAGAAAUAGUUAGGAUCCAAAUAAGAGGCAACUUCACCCUCCCCACAGCAAGUAAUGUAUUAUCAUAUUAACAGUUCUAAAUGGCCCAAAUGUAACUUCAAACCAGUGACAGAAUUACAAGGGAUAACCGAUUAAGUAAAAAGUCUCAAGGACCUAAUGAUCAUUCCAGCAUUUAGCACUGGCAGAACCAUUAAUUGAUCAAAAUCAACUUUUCAUACGAAUUCAGAAUCCAUUAAACAGGAUUUGCGGAUACUUUCAAUCUCGACAUUGACAAAUACAACAAUUAUUGCCAAAAUUCUGACCUAUAACAUAUUUAUUGCAACCUCAUGUUUAUAACUAUGAUGGGGUUAUUGUCUCCUCAUUAACCAUCCCCAUACACCUUGCCCAGUUCUUCAAUGAGCAAAUGGAUCAAUAAACACGAGCUUUAGGCGGGAAUGAUUCAAUCUCGUCAUCUAAUGUAUUCAUGUGUACUGGCCUGUAAUUGAGUCGGACUUUUUCAUUCUCCCAAUAUCUGCAAACCAAAUGAACAAGACCAUGUUAACAAGGAAUAUCAAUCAUAAUCCUCCGACAUAUUUUGCUUACAUCAAAAAAUUUCACCGCUCUCUCAAAUAUUAAUAGCUAACUAAAGUGCUAACAAGCCACUUUUUCAGAGCCCCAGCUAAGCUUGUUGACAACCACCCUCCCACUUCCCCAAUGCUAGGGGGUACAAGAGACUAUAUUUAAGCCACAAAAAAGGUAGGAGCUCAUACUACAGGUAUAAACAUUGUGGCAAAUGGAACUAAAAUCAUCUGACAAAAUACCAAAAUUGUACAUUCUAAAAAACAAAAUGACAUAAAAAACUCUUGCAUCCUAAAUGUAUUAAUUGGAUAACAGAUUUAUCUUUCCAUCUCAUGAUAAAACUUUUAUUUUGCUUGACCUACCAGUUAUAAUUAAAGAAAACUUCCAAUAACAAAUUUAUAUUGGCAAGGCGGAUGGUGCCUCACUCUAUACUACACUCCAUGACCUCACCCUACAUUACAGAUAAAUUUAGUUCUCAUGGAUGCAUGUCACUAAGCAUGAGAAAUGAGACUUACCCCAAAGUAUGCUUCAUCCAAUUUUCAUCAUCUCUUUUCUGCAGAAUCAGAGCAAAAUUAAUUUAUUACAAGAAAACUGGCAAUAAAUAGAAUAUUAGUAUAUUAAAAUACACCAAGCUCACAGAGAAGUCUUCACGGGCAUGUGCUCCUCUGCUCUCCUUCCGAGCCUCAGCAGAGUGCAUUGUGAUACAGGCAUUUAUCAAAAGGUUUUCCAAUUCAAUGGUUUCUAUCAAGUCAGAGUUCCAUAUUAAACUGCGAUCUUUCAACUUAACAUCAUGAAAGCUCUCCCAUGCCUUGUCAAUCAGCUGACAACCUGCAGUAGCAACAGAGAAGGAGAAAGCGGCCUUCUAAGAGAAAUAUGCCAACAAUAACCAACUGACUAAAGAUUGCAACAUUACACACUCAUGCAACUAGAUACCAUAAUAAGAUGAACAUUUUGACUGUAAGAUCCUCCCUUUGCUCAAUGUUAACUACGAAAGAAAGGAGGGGGAAGACAAAGGGGAUGGAGGGGAGGAGGAAGGGGAGGAAUAAGGGAAGAGGAAAAUAAUGGCACAAAAAGCACUGAUAAAACUCCAGGGUUCGGUUUUUUAAGGAAAACAAAAAUCAAUUGUUUUACAGUAGCAUACCUUCUUCCAAUGUUUCUUGUGUACGGAACACAGCAGCAUUAUUUUGCAUUAUCCUCUGCAUAUUUAACCGGAUUUGUGAAGUUGGCAAUGAUCCAUUUGAAUUCCUCAGUUUGUCUAGCCAUGCAAUGGUCCUCUCUCCAGCCUCCUUUUCCAAAGGCUUCUGUUUCUCCCCUGGUCUAUGGAUCUCUGCCACUCUAUUUGCAGAAGCUCGACCAAAAACAACAAUGUCAAGCAGAGAAUUUGCACCAAGCCGAUUGGCACCGUGGACUGAUGCACAGGCUGCCUCUCCAGCAGCCAUUAAACCAGGAACUACAGCAUCGGGAUCAUUGCCUUUAAUAGUAACCACCUCUCCAUGGUAAUUUGUGGGAAUUCCACCCAUAUUGUAAUGCACAGUAGGUAAGACAGGGAUGGGUUCCUUUGUAACAUCCACACCAGCAAAAAUAGCAGCAGUUUCAGAAAUACCAGGAAGCCUCUCUUUUAGUACAUCUGGGGGCAAGUGAUUUAAAUGCAAAUAGAUAUGGUCCUUCAAAGGUCCUACACCACGACCCUCCCGAAUCUCCAUGGUCAUAGAUCUCGAAACAACAUCUCUAGAUGCAAGAUCCUUGGCUGUAGGAGCAUAUCUUUCCAUAAACCGUUCACCUUCACUGUUCCUAAGAAUACCACCUUCACCACGAGAUCCUUCAGUAAUUAGGCAGCCAGCCCCAUAUAUGCCCGUUGGAUGAAACUGAACAAACUCCAGAUCCUGGAGAGGAAGCCCAGCCCUUGCAACCAUAGAAUUGCCAUCUCCAGUGCAUGUAUGAGCUGAGGUUGCUGAAAAGUAUGUUCUACCAUAUCCCCCUGUGGCCAGGAUGGUUGAAGCAGCUUGGAAUCUAUGCAAUGUUCCAUCCUCCAUAUUCAAUGCAAUUACUCCUUGGCAGCUACCUAAAUAUCAGAAAUCAAUUGUCUGUCAAUUUUCCACACAUGAAGCCUCCAGGCAUUAAAAAAUCAAAUACAAUGUCUAUACUGGGGAAAGGCCAAGUGCCCUUUGUGUAAAGAUAAUAUGUGUUUAUAGUAAUAAAAACAUUGUAAUAGAGACUGAAAGUAAAUGCAGCUAAGCAUGACUCAACAAGACAAUAAAAAUAUGCAAACAACUAUAACUGAUGUAACGUGCCACGAGAAUUAAAAACACAAAAAAAUGAACCUGAGUAAGUUAGUUGGAAUUAGCAAUUAGCUAAACAAUCAUCAUCCAAUACGAACGCCAGUUCCCCAAAACCCCUAAAAAUAACUAACAAGCUGUUUCUGCCAUGUAGACCAACUACCACGAAUAGGGCCUUCCCAACUUCCUCCCAUCUUUGGUAAUUGGUAUUAUGCAUGAAAACAAAGAGUUGGUCUUUGGCUUUGAAUACGAUUUUUUGCUACUUGCUUACAACUCUGUUCCUAAAAAUAUGUAUAUCCACAGGGUUGUGCAUACAUGUGAAAGCAUGCAUAAUUGCACCAACGUCAAAUAAACAUCAUGUAAGAAGGCUUGAAAAGCAGAGGCAACUAAACAGUGCUAAGCAAAGAAAAAAAGGUACAUGUUAAAAACCAUCACAAAAAUGCACAGAUCAUCAAGAAAGAAAAUCAGACCCUUGGACAAUUAUCCAUCUGGUUCUGUAAAAGUCCUGCAUCAUCCUCUAAUUCGAUCAUAAUACAAAUAAGCUGAUGCUAUAAUUAAAUCAUAAUACAAAAAAGCUGAUCCUGUAAUUAAAUCAUAAUACAAAUAAGCUGAUUGCAAAUUACAUCUGUAAACGUACCAUCACUAUUCAUUAGUAGAUCCAAAGCAAAAUAUUCCACAAAAAAUUGUGUAUUAUGUUUCAUAGCUUGGCCAUAGAGAGUAUGCAAAAGAGCAUGCCCAGUUCGGUCAGCAGCACAUGCACAACGAUAUGCCUGUCCACCUUUUCCAAAAUUUAAACUCUGACCACCAAAUGCACGCUGAUAAAUUCGUCCAUCUUCUGUUCGGGAAAAUGGUAGCCCAUAAUUCUCAAGUUCUAUGACUGCCUUUGGUGCCUCUCUACACAUGUAUUGAAUGGCAUCCUGAUCACCUGUAGAUAUAUAUUUGGACAUCAAUGCGCAACAGACAAAAAAGGCAAAAAAAAGUUCAACUUAUCAACACAGCAACAUGUGAAUUGACUGGAGUCCACAGUCCAGUUAGGGCAAGCCUUGUUUCUUGCAAAUACGAGGACACUUCAAAUUGGGAAGUAAUGAAGGUGGCAUUCUAACCAGUCACUUCCCUUAACAGUGUCAUACAUGUGCCAUCUCCAAUCAUCUUCUGUCAUAUUUCCCAAAGCUGCAUUGAUGCCUCCCUGAGCUGCAACGGUGUGUGAACGAGUUGGAAAAAGCUUGGUAAUGCAAGCAGUGUUGAAUCCAUGUUCUGAGAGUCCUAUGGCAGCUCUCAACCCGGCACCACCUGCUCCUACGACCACUGCAUCAUAUGUAUGAUCAACAAUGGUGUAUGAGGAUCGCCCCCCAGUCGAUUCAGUAGAGACAAAUCUGGAAAUGUGAGUUCUAAGAGAGUCAUUAGAGAUGGAUUUCUUAGAAAAAGGAGGAAGGCGAAGGCCACGCGCAACGAACCUCCACAUCUCUGGCUUUGUCACUCAAAAAAAUCUAGUGGUGGGUUUGUUAAUGGACGAAGCAGUUGGGUUAAAUAAUUGUUGAAGGUAGCAUAGAAGAGAGAGUUGAACGGAGAAGCACAAAAGGAAGAGGCCAAGGGAGACAGGUGAGUCGAGGACUCGAGGACUAGUCGCUGCUGCCCGUCGCCGAACGCUGAUGCAUGUGAUUCAGUAAGCAGCUAGGACUGCCCCUAUGGUUGCAACGAACUACGGAAACGCCACCGUAUAACAGUUCUCAUAGAUUUUAUCAAUAAUUAUAAAUU
rnacentral:misc_RNA from 1 species